rnacentral:rRNA from 1 species
UACAGGGGUGCAAACGUUGCUCGGAAUUAUUGGGCGUAAAGCGCGCGUAGGCGGCUACUUAAGUCGGAUGUGAAAGCCCCUGGCUCAACUGGGGAAGUGCACCCGAAACUGAGUGGCUUGAGUGCGAAAGAGGGUCGCGGAAUUCCCGGUGUAGAGGUGAAAUUCGUAGAUAUCGGGAGGAACACCGGUGGCGAAGGCGGCGACCUGGGUCGACACUGACGCUGAGGCGCGAAAGCCAGGGAGGCAAACGGG